AUGGAUAUAGCUUAGUGGUAAAGUGUUUGCUUAGCAUGUAUAAGAUUCUGGGUUCAAACCCCAGUUUCACUA
rfam:Ictidomys tridecemlineatus contig090947, whole genome shotgun sequence.